ACAUCUAAGUACCUGGAGGAAGAGAAAGAAAAAUCGAUUUCCUGAGUAGCGGCGAGCGAAACGGAAAGAGCCCAAACCAAGAAGCUUGCUUCUUGGGGUUGUAGGACACUCUAUACGGAGUUACAAAAGAAAGUUAUAAAUGAAGCGGUCUGGAAAGGCCCGCCAAAGACGGUAACAGCCCGGUAGUUGAAAUGGCUUUCCCUCCAGAGUGGAUCCUGAGUACGGCGGAACACGUGAAAUUCCGUCGGAAUCCGGGAGGACCAUCUCCCAAGGCUAAAUACUCCCUAGUGACCGAUAGUGAACCAGUACCGUGAGGGAAAGGUGAAAAGCACCCCGGAAGGGGAGUGAAACAGUUCCUGAAACCGUGUGCCUACAAGUAGUUAGAGCCCGUUAAUGGGUGAUAGCGUGCCUUUUGUAGAAUGAACCGGCGAGUUACGAUUUGUUGCAAGGUUAAGCGGAAAAAGCGGAGCCGUAGCGAAAGCGAGUCUGAAUAGGGCGCAUAAGUAACAGGUCGUAGACCCGAAACCAGGUGAUCUACCCAUGUCCAGGAUGAAGGUAAGGUAAUACUUACUGGAGGUCCGAACCCACGCACGUUGAAAAGUGCGGGGAUGAGGUGUGGGUAGCGGAGAAAUUCCAAUCGAACUUGGAGAUAGCUGGUUCUCUCCGAAAUAGCUUUAGGGCUAGCCUCGAGGUAAAGAGUCAUGGAGGUAGAGCACUGUUUGGACUAGGGGCCCUUCUCGGGUUACCGAAUUCAGAUAAACUCCGAAUGCCAUGUACUUAUACUCGGGAGUCAGACUGCGAGUGAUAAGAUCCGUAGUCGAAAGGGAAACAGCCCAGACCACCAGUUAAGGUCCCCAAAUAUAU
rnacentral:rRNA from 1 species